rnacentral:snRNA from 1 species
AUCGCUUCUCGGCCUUUUGGCUAAGAUCAAGUGUAGUAUCUGUUCUUUAAUGGAGCCUAAUAUGAAACUGAUUGUGAAGCUAAUAGGAAAAUGAUUCAUACAUCAUGAGAGACACUGUCCACCACUAUCCUUAUUGUGAAACCCAG